GGGAUGUUUGUGUUUAGAGGGAAAGAGCUAUUAUAUGCAAGGAAAGACGAAGGGACAGGUGAUCAUGCUCCCUUAGAUGAUGUUUUUGAUGUUUGCUGCAAAGCUCCUGUUGCUUAACUGUGCUGUAUAAAUUGUAAAUUCAUAUAGCAUUAGGAAUGUCCAGUUUAAGAAGAGUUGUGCUAUUAGAAUAGGAUUCACUAUGAAUCAUACAAGAGGCAACAUAUAAUAAGCUUUGGAUAAAUGGUUAAAUGUCAUAUUUAACUAUAUUGUAACAAAACAUGAGUUAGAAAUGGCAAUUGUCACACAUGUAAGCAUAUUUCUUAUUUUAAUCAUUAUGAAUUAUUAUAAGGAAGCUGUAAAUUGUUUUAUUUAUCUAAAGGCUGAAAUUCUCAAA
rnacentral:lncRNA from 1 species